UGAGGAAUAUUGGUCAAUGGACGAGAGUCUGAACCAGCCAAGUAGCGUGAAGGAUGACUGCCCUAUGGGUUGUAAACUUCUUUCAUAUGGGAAUAAAACGUUCCACGUGUGGGAUUUUGUAUGUACCAUAUGAAUAAGGAUCGGCUAACUCCGUGCCAGCAGCCGCGGUAAUACGGAGGAUCCGAGCGUUAUCCGGAUUUAUUGGGUUUAAAGGGAGCGUAGGUGGAUUGUUAAGUCAGUUGUGAAAGUUUGCGGCUCAACCGUAAAAUUGCAGUUGAAACUGGCAGUCUUGAGUACAGUAGAGGUGGGCGGAAUUCGUGGUGUAGCGGUGAAAUGCUUAGAUAUCACGAAGAACUCCGAUUGCGAAGGCAGCUCACUGGACUGCAACUGACACUGAGGCUCGAAAGUGUGGGUAUCAAACAGG
rnacentral:rRNA from 1 species